UACACACCGCCCGUCACACCAUGGGAGUGGGUUUCACCAGAAGUAGUUAGCCUAACCGCAAGGAGGGCGACUACCACGGUGAGAUUCAUGACGUGGGGUGAAGUCGUAACAACGGUACC
rnacentral:rRNA from 1 species